rnacentral:rRNA from 1 species
CCUACGGGUGGCAGCAGUGGGGAAUAUUGCACAAUGGGGGAAACCCUGAUGCAGCGACGCCGCGUGCGUGAAGAAGUAUUUCGGUACGUAAAGCUCUAUCAGCAGGGAAGAAAAUGACGGUACCUGACUAAGAAGCCCCGGCUAACUACGUGCCAGCAGCCGCGGUAAUACGUGGGGGGCAAGCGUUAUCCGGAUUUACUGGGUGUAAAGGGAGCGUAGGCGGCAGUGCAAGUCUGGAGUGAAAGCCCAUGGCUUAACCAUGGAACUGCUUGGGAAACUGUGCAGCUGGAGUGCAGGAGAGGUAAGCGGAAUUCCUAGUGUAGCGGUGAAAUGCGUAGAGAUCAUGAAGAACACCGAUGGCGAAGGCAGCUUACCAGGCUACGACUGACGUUGAGGCACGAAAGCGUGGGGAGCAAACAGGAUUAGAUACCCCAGUAGUC